GUGUUCACUUUGGCAGCACAUAUACUAAAAUUUGAACUAUACAGAAAAGAUUAGCAUGGCUCCCGCGUGGUGCUUCCUUAAAAGGCUAAAAAUGGAAAU
rnacentral:snRNA from 1 species